rnacentral:rRNA from 1 species
CCUACGGGUGGCAGCAGUGGGGGAUAUUGCACAAUGGGGGGAACCCUGAUGCAGCGACGCCGCGUGGGUGAAGGAGUGCUUCGGCAUGUAAAGCCCUAUCGGCAGGGAAGAAGCAAGACGGUACCUGACUAAGAAGCCCCGGCUAACUACGUGCCAGCAGCCGCGGUAAUACGUAGGGGGCGAGCGUUAUCCGGAUUCACUGGGUGUAAAGGGAGCGUAGACGGCCAUGCAAGCCAGGGGUGAAAGCCCGGGGCCCAACCCCGGGACUGCCCUUGGAAUUGCAUGGCUGGAGUGCGGGAGGGGCAGGCGGAAUUCCUGGUGUAGCGGUGAAAUGCAGAGAUAUCACGCAGAACUCCGAUUGCGAAGGCAGCAUACCGGCGCCCAACUGACGCUGAAGCACGAAAGCGUGGGUAUCGAACAGGAUUAGAUACCCGAGUAGUC